UACGUAGGGUGCGAGCGUUAAUCGGAAUUACUGGGCGUAAAGCGUGCGCAGGCGGUUCGUUAAGUCAGCUGUGAAAGCCCCGGGCUCAACCUGGGAACUGCGGUUGAAACUGGCGAACUAGAAUCUGGCAGAGGGGGGUGGAAUUCCACGUGUAGCAGUGAAAUGCGUAGAUAUCAGGAGGAAUACCGAUGGACGGAAGGCAGGUCUCUGGGCUGACACUGGACGCUCAUGCACGAAAGCGUGGGGAGCAAACGAGGAU
rnacentral:rRNA from 1 species